UACGGAGGGGGCUAGCGUUGUUCGGAAUUACUGGGCGUAAAGGGCUCGUAGGCGGCCAACUAAGUCGGAUGUGAAAUCCCCAAGCUUAACUUGGGAACUGCAUCCGAUACUGGAUGGCUUGAAUCCGGGAGAGGGAUGCAGAAUUCCAGGUGUAGCGGUGAAAUGCGUAGAUAUCUGGAGGAAUACCGGUGGCGAAGGCGGCAUCCUGGACCGGCAUGACGCUGAGGAGCGAAAGCUAGGGGAGCAA
rnacentral:rRNA from 1 species